AGAGUUUGAUCAUGGCUCAGGAUGAACGCUGGCGGUAUGCCUUAUACAUGCAAGUCGUACGAGAGUUUUUAACUCUAGUGGCGGACGGGUGAGUAACACGUAAGAAUUUGCCUUUAGGAGGGGGACAACAACUGGAAACGGUUGCUAAUACCCCAUAUGCUUUCGAGUGAAAUGGAUUUCCGCCUAAAGAGAAGCUUGCGGCUGAUUAGCUUGUUGGUAGGGUAAUGGCCUACCAAGGCGACGAUCAGUAUCUGGUUUGAGAGGACGAUCAGACACACUGGAACUGAGACACGGUCCAGACUCCUACGGGAGGCAGCAGUAGGGAAUUUUCCGCAAUGGGCGAAAGCCUGACGGAGCAAUACCGCGUGAGGGAUGACUGCCUAUGGGUUGUAAACCUCUUUUUUCAGGGAGGAAUAAAUGACGUGUACCUGAAGAAUAAGCAUCGGCUAACUCCGUGCCAGCAGCCGCGGUAAGACGGAGGAUGCAAGUGUUAUCCGGAAUCACUGGGCGUAAAGCGUCUGUAGGUGGCUCGACAAGUCAACUGUUAAAUCUUGAAGCUCAACUUCGAAAUCGCAGUCGAAACUAUCGAACUAGAGUAUAGUAGAGGUAAAGGGAAUUUCCAGUGGAGCGGUGAAAUGCGUAGAGAUUGGAAAGAACACCGAUGGCGAAGGCACUUUACUGGGCUAUUACUGACACUCAGAGACGAAAGCUAGGGUAGCAAAUGGGAUUAGAUACCCCAGUAGUCCUAGCCGUAAACAAUGGAUACUAGGUGUUGAACAGAUCGACCUGUGCAGUA
rnacentral:rRNA from 1 species